GGAUCGCAAGACCUUGCGCUCUUUGAGCGGCCGAUGUCUGAUUAGCUAGUUGGUGAGGUAAAGGCUUACCAAGGCGACGAUCAGUAGCUGGUCUGAGAGGACGACCAGCCGCACUGGGACUGAGACACGGCCCAGACUCCUACGGGAGGCAGCAGUGGGGAAUUUUGGACAAUGGGGGAAACCCUGAUCCAGCCAUGCCGCGUGAGUGAAGAAGGCCUUCGGGUUGUAAAGCUCUUUCAGCCGGAACGAAACGGUCACGGCUAAUACCCGUGACAACUGACGGUACCGGAAGAAGAAGCACCGGCUAACUACGUGCCAGCAGCCGCGGUAAUACGUAGGGUGCGAGCGUUAAUCGGAAUUACUGGGCGUAAAGCGUGCGCAGGCGGUUUUGUAAGUCAGAUGUGAAAUCCCCGGGCUUAACCUGGGAACUGCGUUUGAAA
rnacentral:rRNA from 1 species